CACCUAAAUUUUCUUAAACAAUAGUUGUUUCAUUUUUUCUACCCUGACCUUAUUCCAAGCACUAAAAAUUGUAAAUUUUCCAGAACCGAUCAUUUCUACCAAGUUGCAUCCCAAUCUAUAAGUUCUUCCCCUACUUUUAUUUUUUCAAAAAAAUAAGAUCUGAUCUCUUCGUGCAAUAAUUGGUUCAAUAAUAUCUUAUUCCAAUUGUUACCCAGUAUCAAAUCUGUAACAUCUUCAACUCCUUCAUGCAUCAAAUUAUUUAUAGGAAGUAAAUAAUGCAAAGCUCCUAGUUGUGUCUAAUUAUCAUACCACACACUAUCACUCCCUCUUAUAGGUUCCUACCAAAUAUCCUGAUCAAAAAAUCUCUUGCUUCAAUUAUGUAAUUCCAAAUUUGUGAACCUCCUCUCCAUUCAUCAAUUUAAGGUCUAUUCUUUUUACAUACGUUAUCCACAUAAACUUAGCCUAUAGGGAUUUCUUAGUUUGGAAAUUCCACCAAAGCUUGGCAUAUAAAGCUUGGUACAUAUCAAACAGAGACCAGAAUCCUAAGAUACCCUUUUCUUUAGGACAACAAACUUCUGUCCAAGCCACCCAGUGUCUGUUCCUUUCCUUCUCUUUAAAAUUCCAUAAGGACAUAGCAAAGAUUUUAUAAAGGUCAUAAAUGGCCCAUUUUGGUGGAACAGUAGCAUAAAGUAGGUAAAUUGGAAUAUUUUGUAAAAACUAUUUAUCAAAACAUGUUUUCCAACAAAAGAUAAUAAUUUACCUUUCCAUGCUUGUACCUUAUUCUGUACUUUCUUCAUUAUUUCAGUAAAAUGAUUUUCCUCUUCCUAGCAUGUCUAAUUGGAUACCCAAGAUAUAUUAGAGGGAAUUUUUCUUUACUGAAGCCAUUAAUGUCUUCGAUCGCUUGAACAAUAGUCUCAACAGUCUUAUGAAAAACAUAAAAACAACUUUUGUGUUUAUUACUCAUUUGCCCUGAUAUCUUUUCAUAUUUCUUAAGACUAUCCAUGGCCAUCUGCAAUGUUAGUUUCUCCUCAAUGAAAAAUGAUAGUAUCAUCAGCAUACACUAGAUGAUUAAUUCUAUCAUGCCAUUUUGUCUUCCAAACCCCUUAAAGUCAUUAUUCUUAAAUAAACUAUUUAAAGUUCUCGACAAUACCUUAGUAGUUAGGAUGAAAAGGGCUAGAAAUAAAGGAACUCCUUGUUUGAGACCUCUGGUAGAAUGAAAUAAACCAUAGGAUUAUCCAUUAAUUAGCACAGAAUACCAGUUAUUAGUCACAAAUCUCCAAAAAAAAAUCCAUCAAAACCCAUUCUUUCAAGCACUUUAAUCAAGAAUCUCUAGUCUACUCUAUCAUAUGCUUUGCCCAUAUCCAACUUAAUCACAACAUUAGUUAGUUUUCCCCUUAUUCUUAUAUCACAUAUUAUCUCUUUGACCAAUAAAACAUUCUCUGUAAUACGUCUUCCUUUCACAAACCCUGACUGGUUUGGAGAAAUAAUUUUGGGAAUUACUUUCUCUAUUCUAUCAUGAAUGAUUCUAGACAGUACCUUGUUAAAAAAAUUGCUCAAACUAAUUGAUCUCAAGUCAGAAAAAAAAACUACAUAUUCUCUUUUUGGGCAGUAGGACCAAGUUAAUAUGAGUAAUUGACUUUGGAAAAGUACAUCCUGCCAAAAAAAAAGCAACCACAACUUCACAUAUGUCAGAUCCCAUAAUACCCCAUCAAGAUUGAUAAAAUUGCCCUGUGAAACCAUCAGGACCACUAGUACUAUCACCAUUAACCUCAUAAACCACGUUUUAAUCUUUUCUCCUUUUGGCAUGGAAUUUAACAAUUGAUUAUCCCUAGAAAUAACUAGUGUUGGAAAAAGUUAAGCAAAGUUAAAUCUACCACUUCAGUCUCAGUAGUGAACUAUUUCUGAUAAAAUUUAAUGGCCUCAGCAGCAACUUCUUCCUUUCCUUCAGCACAACCCCAUCUUCCUUGCCAAUUCUAUUUAGGUGCAAUAUUUUUCUCCUACCAUUAACUAAGUUAUAGAAAAACUUAGUGUAUUUUUCACCUUCAACAAACCAUUUUACCGUUACUUUCUUCCUCCAAUACUUUUCUUCAUAGUGAAGGUAAUUUUUUAAUUCAGCCUAUGCAAGUUGAAGUAUCAUUCUAUUUUCUGGAGAAAGAUUUUAUCCAAAUAAAUAAUCCUUACAAUAUCUUCUGUAGUCAUCAACUAAUUAAAAAUAUCACCAAACUUUUCUCUACUCCAUCUUGAAAGUGCCAGCUUAGUAUUUUUCAUUUUUUGUUUCAAUUUAAUGAAAUAGUUACCCGAUUCUUCACACUUUCAGCUGUUAGUUACCACCCUUUUGAAAUCCUUAUCUUCUGUCCAAAUUUUUUGGAAUUAAAAGGGCUAAAAAAUAUGUGUAUCUAAUCCCCCACAUGAUAACGAAAUAGGAGCAUGAUUAGAACCAGUUCUGGCUAAAUGUUUAACUUUAACAUUCACAAACAUCCUCAACAACCUUUGAUUCAUCAGACAUACCUAUCCAACCUUUUAAAUAUACAAGCACCAUCAAUUCUACUAUCCCACCAUGUGAAUGAGAUCCCUUUAAAUUUGAUAUCAAAAAGUUCACAAGAAUUUACUCAAAAUGCAAAAUCUUAAUAUUCUUGAGGGUAAAUAGGCAACCCUCUAAUUUUCUCAUCCUCAUCCAAAAUGACAUUGAAAUCACCUCCUAACAACCAUGGUAAUCUCAUACUAUCACUUAAUGAGUAAAUAUCAUUUGGGAAAUCUAAUUUGCCAAUAACAUCACACUUUGCAUAUACUAUUGUGGUAAUAAUUUUUCUUCCAUCCACAAAGUUGAUCUAAGUAGUCAAUUGUUGAUCAGAAUUAACACUGUGACCUGAAUAUCUUGCUGAGAAUAAAUCCAUCUUUUUCAUUUUGAUUAUAGUUUGAAUAUUGCAUACCAAACCUUGUCUUGUACCUUUGAAUCUGGCAAGGUGCUUGAAAAGGUUCCAUUAAUGCAAUAUAGAAAAAUUUAUUAUGUCUGUGCAAUAUUUGAACUUUCUGAAAAGCAUGAUGAGCUCUCACAGAUCUAAUAUUCUGAAAGAGAGCUUUGCAACGCAGUUGGAACUAGCCUUGACCCCCUCAAUGGUUUCUUUUUUUCCACAAGAGCCCAAACAACUGGAUCACCAGCAACUUUACCACUGAUAAGAUCUUUGGAGGGAAAUCAUUAUAUCUUGGUCCAGCAACCUCCUGUUAAUAAAUCUCUGGUGUUGCUACAUCUCGUUGUUGGCCCUCUUCAUUUUUCUUAUUUUCUUUUGAAUUAUUGUACUGCCUUCUAAGAUUAGGAUUUAAUUUCCUACAUCCUUUCUUAUUAUGACCUUGUAACCUACAUUCUUUGCAACACUAUGGCAAUGCAUCAUAUUGUAUUCUAA